UGGUAAUACUAACAGUGGAUUUUGAAAAAGGUACUUCAGGCCUUGAUCUGAGUAUUUACUCCUACUUGAUUAUCAGAUCACCAGAUCAGGAUGGGAACUUGCUUUAUGUGUUGAGUGCAUCUUCCCAGGGCUCGGAAUAUCAACUUUGAAUGGCACCACUGGUAUUAGGAAAAUAGAAGUUUUUACGGAUGAAUCUUCAAGGAUUUCAAUCUAACUCAGUGAUUCAGGGAAAUACAAUUACACAAUCAAUUGUAUCAAUGCUAAAUCCAUCCAGAAUCAACUGAACCAAAGACAGAGAACUGUGGAGGUUUAAGGAUAUAAUUAUCGAGUUACUACCGCACCAAAUCAGUUUCGUGCAUUUAUGUCAGAACCUUAGGAUUGAACAGAAGAGUUUGUAACUGCUGAAUUUGAGGAAGCUCAAGUCGACGAAAGUUAACACUUUUGAAGAAUGUGAGGACAGAACUUCAAGGAUUAGCAUAACACUGUCUGAGAGGUUUAGUCAUGUCAAGAUUUAGAUGGAAGCCAUUGGUUUCAAGUGGAGACUCUUCGGGGUUCAGUUCGACAGGUUGUUUGAAAACUGAGUUGGUCAGUACACACAAUAUUGUUUGGUAUCUUUAGCAAAGAAG
rnacentral:lncRNA from 1 species